AAGACUAUAGACCUGCGGAGUACCUGCGGAAGGAUCAUUAUUGAAUUAUGUUUCUAAAUGGGUUGUAGCCGGCUCGUCAGAGCAUGUGCACGCCUGUUUGGACUUCAUUUUCAUCCACCUGUGCACCUAUUGUAGUCUUUGGUUGGGUAUCAAGGAAGUGGUCAGCCUAUCAGCACUUGCUGGAUGUGAGGACUUGCAGUGUGAAAGCUUUGCUGUCCUUUACUUGAUCAUGGAGUUGUU
rnacentral:misc_RNA from 1 species